rnacentral:rRNA from 1 species
GUUUGAUCCUGGCUCAGGACGAACGCUGGCGGCGUGCCUAAUACAUGCAAGUCGAACGAAGCUUUCUUUCACCGAAUGCUUGCAUUCACCGAAAGAAGCUUAGUGGCGAACGGGUGAGUAACACGUAGGCAACCUGCCCAAAAGAGGGGGAUAACACUUGGAAACAGGUGCUAAUACCGCAUAACCAUGAACACCGCAUGAUGUUCAUGUAAAAGACGGCUUUUGCUGUCACUUUUGGAUGGGCCUGCGGCGUAUUAACUUGUUGGUGGGGUAACGGCCUACCAAGGUGAUGAUACGUAGCCGAACUGAGAGGUUGAUCGGCCACAUUGGGACUGAGACACGGCCCAAACUCCUACGGGAGGCAGCAGUAGGGAAUCUUCCACAAUGGACGAAAGUCUGAUGGAGCAACGCCCCGUGAAUGAAGAAAGCCUUCGGGUCGUAAAAUUCUGUUGUCAGAGAAGAACGUGCGUGAGAGUAACUGUUCACGUAUUGACGGUAUCUGACCAGAAAGCCACGGCUAACUACGUGCCAGCAGCCGCGGUAAUACGUAGGUGGCGAGCGUUGUCCGGAUUUAUUGGGCGUAAAGGGACGCAGGCGGUCUUUUAAGUCUGAUGUGAAAGCCUUCGGCUUAACCGAAGUAGUGCAUUGGAAACUGGAAGACUUGAGUGCAGAAGAGGAGAGUGGAACUCCAUGUGUAGCGGUGAAAUGCGUAGAUAUAUGGAAGAACACCAGUGGCGAAAGCGGCUCUCUGGUCUGUAACUGACGCUGAGGUUCGAAAGCGUGGGUAGCAAACAGGAUUAGAUACCCUGGUAGUCCACGCCGUAAACGAUGAGUGCUAAGUGUUGGAGGGUUUCCGCCCUUCAGUGCUGCAGCUAACGCAUUAAGCACUCCGCCUGGGGAGUACGGUCGCAAGACUGAAACUCAAAG